rnacentral:rRNA from 1 species
CCUACGGGUGGCAGCAGUAGGGAAUCUUUCACAAUGGGCGAAAGCCUGAUGGAGCAAAGCCGCGUGCAGGAUGAAGGCCUUCGGGUUGUAAACUGCUUUUAUAAGCGAGAAAUAUGAUGGUAACUUAUGAAUAAGGAUCGGCUAACUACGUGCCAGCAGCCGCGGUCAUACGUAGGAUCCGAGCAUUAUCCGGAGUGACUGGGUGUAAAGAGUUGCGUAGGUGGCAUAAUAAGUAGCUAGUGAAAGCUGGUGGCUCAACCAUUCAGACUAUUAGCUAAACUGUUAAGCUCGAGACCGUUAGGGGUAACUGGAAUGUCUAGUGUAGGAGUGAAAUCCGUAGAUAUUAGAAGGAACACCGAUAGCGUAGGCAGGUUGCUGGGACGGUUCUGACACUAAGGCACGAAAGCGUAGGGAGCAAACGGGAUUAGAUACCCUUGUAGUC